rnacentral:rRNA from 1 species
CUGCAGCUCAAGUGGUGACCGCUAUUAUUGGGCCUAAAACGUUCGUAGCCGGCUGAGUAAAUGCCUGGGUAAAUCGUGCCGCUUAACGGUACGAAUUCCGGGUAGACUGCUUAGCUUGAGACCGGGAGAAGCUAGAGGUACUCCUGGGGUAGGGGUGAAAUCCUGUAAUCCUGGGGGGACCACCAGUGGCGAAGGCGUCUAGCUAGAACGGGUCUGACGGUGAGGAACGAAACCCUGGGGCGCAAACCGGAUUAGAUACCCGCGUAGUC